UACGGAGGAUCCAAGCGUUAUCCGGAAUCAUUGGGUUUAAAGGGUCCGUAGGCGGGACAAUCAGUCAGCGGUGAAAGUCUGUGGCUCAACCAUAGAAUUGCCAUUGAUACUGUUGUUCUUGAAUACUUAUGAAGUGGUUGGAAUAUGUAGUGUAGCGGUGAAAUGCAUAGAUAUUACAUAGAACACCGAUUGCGAAGGCAGAUCACUAAUAAUUUAUUGACGCUGAUGGACGAAAGCGUAGGUAGCGAACAGG
rnacentral:rRNA from 1 species